GAUCAUUUCACCUUCUUUGUCUCACGAACUUUCCCUCCAUGUUAAUAAUAAUAAUAAAGCCUGCCCCGUUUUAAGUGUUUUAACCCUUGAUCACUGAUACCCUGUCCGACUGACGUAGGGCCCCGUAACGUAUGUCAAGGCUCUGCCUAAAUUCGUUGGGGUUCUGUCUCGUGACGUAGGGAUAAAGUAGAAUUGGGUUACUAUACUUAAUGUGGGUGCACUAUAUAUUUUAUUAAAUAAUCCAGGAGUUGUACCCAAAAUAUAGCAACCCUCCCGAAUAUUUUUCUGACACCCUACACUUCCUGAAAUACAUCCUAUACGUGAAAACCGAGUCCGAAUUAUAAUAUAGUAUUAAAAAUAAAUGGAAAACAAGAAAAAGUAAGUUGAGGCGGGCCGCGUAGACCCACCCCAAACUUAACGCGGGCCGUGUGAGGGUGUAACUGGACUCCGCUGAAUUCUUUAGUUCAUGCGGGCCGCGUAAGGCCACACCGUUAGUUUAUGCGGGCCGCGAGUGUCCCAAUUGGUGGCGCGGCCCGGUGAUGACACGUGUCAUCAUCGUGGCAAGGCUAGAUCAUGACCAGGACAAGCUACGCGUUGACCCAGUAUUGACGCGGGCCGCGUAAGCCUUGCCUGUUCUUUACGCGGGCCGCGUGGGAACCAGUUUCAGCAACUAUAUAAGGAACGCAUCGGAUUUCAAUUCAGUUCGCUCAUUUCUCAAUUCUCAAUCACAAUUUCUGUAGAAGGCUUAUUAUACUCGGGUAUUAUGCCCCCUAAUUAGCGAAGCUCUGCCUCGUUGUAAGUAUCAUAACCCCUGGAUACGUAUUAGAUACUAUGCCCGAUUGAUUUAGGAUUCCGUAACGGCUGUCGUGGUUCUGCCCGACGUAGUCGUUGGAAUACCGUCUCGGGGAGGGUAUUACUAAUGUUAAAAUGGGUUAUUAUACUAAUGCAUGUGCAUUGUUUAUUUAAUUAGACUAUAACCAGGGAAUCACAAAAGAAAGCCCUAUAAUAGCAAUGUAACUUAGUGUGAAGCCAAUAAAAGCCAGCUGGAGAGCACUGAAGGCUUGGAAAAGUGACUAUAAAGUUACCUAAAAUAAAAUAGCUGUUUUUAUUAAUAAAAAUAGGAUUUAUUCCUAUGAAAGCGUGUAUACUGAAAACUUGGGUUUUACCCAUGUGUUUAAUAUUAUGAAAAUGUGGUGGUUUUACUCUGAUAAAAAUAUUUCCUAACUACGGUCCUGAUGAAAAAAAUUCCGCUGCCAAAUUAGACAAUACACGAUACCACCGAAACUGGCUCACGGCCGCCCGUUCCUGAGGGGUUGGGGGUUGUGACAGAAGGUGGUAUCAGAGCUAUGCCACUGGUCUAAGCCAAAGAAGUGUUCUGCUGACACUUAAGUUUUAAAUUCUGUGUUAGGAAAUUAAUAUAACAAUUUAUGUGUUAUUCUGUAGUAUGA
rnacentral:lncRNA from 1 species